GAUCCUGGCUCAGAUUGAACGCUGGCGGCGUGCCUAACACAUGCAAGUCGAGCGGCAGCACGGGAGCAAUCCUGGUGGCGAGCGGCGGACGGGUGAGUAAUGCUUUGGAAUCUGCCCAUCAAUGGGGGACAACCCGGGGGAAACUCGGGCUAAUACCGCAUACGUCCUACGGGAGAAAGCGGGGGAUCGCAAGACCUCGCGUUGAUGGAUGAGCCAAAGUCGGAUUAGCUAGUUGGUAGGGUAAAGGCCUACCAAGGCGACGAUCUGUAGCGGGUCUGAGAGGACGACCAGCCACACUGGGACUGAGACACGGCCCAGACUCCUACGGGAGGCAGCAGUGGGGAAUAUUGGGCAAUGGAGGAAACUCUGACCCAGCGACGCCGCGUGCGGGAUGAAGGCCUUCGGGUUGUAAACUGCUUUUGUACGGAACGAAAAGGUUUCUCUUAAUACGAGGAGCUCAUGACGGUACCGUAAGAAUAAGCACCGGCUAACUACGUG
rnacentral:rRNA from 1 species